rnacentral:tRNA from 6 species
AAAUAUGAAGCAAAUCUUUGCAUUUAAUUUCGACUUAAAAAAAUGAGUUUUAUUACUCCGUAUUUA